CAGGAUGGACCCGCGUCUGAUUAGCUAGUUGGUAAGGUAACGGCUUACCAAGGCGACGAUCAGUAGCCGACCUGAGAGGGUGAUCGGCCACAUUGGAACUGAGACACGGUCCAAACUCCUACGGGAGGCAGCAGUGGGGAAUAUUGCACAAUGGGCGAAAGCCUGAUGCAGCAACGCCGCGUGAGUGAUGAAGGCCUUCGGGUCGUAAAACUCUGUCCUCAAGGAAGAUAAUGACGGUACUUGAGGAGGAAGCCCCGGCUAACUACGUGCCAGCAGCCGCGGUAAUACGUAGGGGGCUAGCGUUAUCCGGAUUUACUGGGCGUAAAGGGUGCGUAGGCGGUCUUUCAAGUCAGGAGUGAAAGGCUACGGCUCAACCGUAGUAAGCUCUUGAAACUGGGAGACUUGAGUGCAGGAGAGGAGAGUGGAAUUCCUAGUGUAGCGGUGAAAUGCGUAGAUAUUAGGAGGAACACCAGUUGCGAAGGCGGCUCUCUGGACUGUAACUGACGCUGAGGCACGAAAGCGUGGGGAGCAAACAGGAUUAGAUACCCUGGUAGUCCACGCUGUAAACGAUGAGUAC
rnacentral:rRNA from 1 species